UUUUAGACUACCACGUCAUACUUUCAAGCAUCAUAGAGAUUUUCUGGUGUACACAAACCACUGUAAAAUUAUUUCUUUUUUGCGAGGGACCUCAUCAAAUUCACAGCAUGUUGCAAGAAACUCAAGAUUUAGUCGCAGAACUGAAGAAGAAAUAUCAAGAGGAUAAUAUAUCAAAUGAGCUCCAUAUAUUUCUUCGUUUGACGAUGCUCAGUCGACCCACUUUUUCGCCGCUUAACGUGUUUACACUGAACAGGGGUUUAGUUGCUAAGAUACUCGGAUGCACCGCAACAUAUUUCGUGGCUUUUAUGCAACUGGAUAUAAAUAAGAAUUAAAAUAAGUAAGAAGAGUUUGUCUAUUAUAGUAUUAACUUAAACAUUAUUUUCAAAAGGCAACUUAGUUCGCGUGUGUACACAUUUAGAAUAAUUUACUCUUAAGGAAAUGCUUUGAAAUUGUGUUUUUUUUAAUGUAACAAACGGCAAACGGGCUAGAGGCUCAUCUGCUGUUAAGUGAUAGAUAGAUAGAUACUCACAUUAUCAGAUGGAUCAUAAGUGCGUUACCAGCCUUAGUGGUGGUGCGCGGAAUUUACUGCCUUAAAAACGCUUAGUUGUGGAAGGACGGAAGUCGAGGUGAUACGGAUUGUAUUUUGUAUUCGACUUUGACGGCCAAUGAUGAAUAUCAACUGCAGGUAUUUAUCCGAACAACUCCUCUGAACACUCUCCAUGCUAAAUGCGGUAGAAGACGCCCACUUCUGUACGCAACGCCAAGGGAUCAAGCUCGGAAAGUGACUGAUCAUCAACGAUUCGAAUCGUUCUUCGUUGAAUAUGGUCAAGUAAAAGGAGCUAGUACUAAGCUGCUCUCACAGAGUUGC